rnacentral:rRNA from 1 species
CGGAGGGUGCAAGCGUUAUCCGGAUUCACUGGGUUUAAAGGGUGCGUAGGUGGGCAAGUAAGUCAGUGGUGAAAUCUCCGGGCUUAACCCGGAAACUGCCAUUGAUACUAUUUGUCUUGAAUACUGUGGAGGUCAGCGGAAUAUGUCAUGUAGCGGUGAAAUGCUUAGAUAUGACAUAGAACACCAAUUGCGUAGGCAGCUGGCUACACAAAUAUUGACACUGAGGCACGAAAGCGUGGGGAUCAAACAGGAUUAGAUACCCUGGUAGUCCACGCCCUAAACUAUGGAUACUCGACAUUUGCGAUAAACUGCAAGUGUCUGAGUGAAAGCAUUAAGUAUCCCACCUGGGAAGUACGAUCGCAAGAUUG